CCCUUAGAUGUUCUGGGCCGCACGCGUGCUACACUGACCAGUGCAACAAGCAUCCGUCCUUGGCCGACAGGCUCGGGCAAUCUUUGAACGCUGGUCGUGAUGGGGAUAGACUUUUGCAAUUUUUGGUCUUCAACGAGGAAUUCCUAGUAAACGCAAGUCAUCAACUUGCAUUGAUUACGUCCCUGCCCUUUGUACACACCGCCCGUCGCACCUACCGAUUGAAUGGUCCGGUGAAGCCUCCGGAUUGGCGCGCACCUCGGUGCCGCCGAGAAGUUGGCUAAACCUUACCAUUUAGAGGAAGGUGAAGUCGUAACA
rnacentral:rRNA from 1 species